AGAGCGAACGCUGGCGGCAGGCCUAAUACAUGCAAGUCGAACGGACCCUUCGGGGUUAGUGGCGGACGGGUGAGUAACACGUGGGAACGUGCCCUUUGGUUCGGAACAACUCAGGGAAACUUGAGCUAAUACCGAAUGUGCCCUUCGGGGGAAAGAUUUAUCGCCAUUGGAGCGGCCCGCGUCUGAUUAGCUAGUUGGUGGGGUAAAGGCUCACCAAGGCGACGAUCAGUAGCUGGUCUGAGAGGAUGAUCAGCCACACUGGGACUGAGACACGGCCCAGACUCCUACGGGAGGCAGCAGUAGGGAAUCUUGCGCAAUGGGCGAAAGCCUGACGCAGCCAUGCCGCGUGAAUGAUGAAGGUCUUAGGAUUGUAAAAUUCUUUCAGCGGGGACGAUAAUGACGGUACCCGCAGAAGAAGCCCCGGCUAACUUCGUGCCAGCAGCCGC
rnacentral:rRNA from 1 species